UGAGGAAUAUUGGUCAAUGGGCGGAAGCCUGAACCAGCCAAGUAGCGUGCAGGACGACGGCCCUCCGGGUUGUAAACUGCUUUUAGUUGGGAAUAAAACGGGGCUCGUGAGCCCCCUUGCAUGUACCAUCAGAAAAAGGACCGGCUAAUUCCGUGCCAGCAGCCGCGGUAAUACGGAAGGUCCGGGCGUUAUCCGGAUUUAUUGGGUUUAAAGGGAGCGCAGGCGGACCUUUAAGUCAGCUGUGAAAUACGGCGGCUCAACCGUCGAACUGCAGUUGAUACUGGAGGUCUUGAGUGCACACAGGGAUGCUGGAAUUCAUGGUGUAGCGGUGAAAUGCUCAGAUAUCAUGAAGAACUCCGAUCGCGAAGGCAGGCAUCCGGGGUGCAACUGACGCUGAGGCUCGAAAGUGCGGGUAUCAAACA
rnacentral:rRNA from 1 species